AAAUGAAGGAAGCAUGGUAAUGUGCACAUAAAUUGAUUUGAGUAUCUAGGCCUACCCUCUUUGAUGCCUUUCGGCUUAGAUUUGGGGGCAUGGUUCCGCAGCAAAACG